UACGUAGGCAGCAAGCGUUGUUCGGAGGUACUGGGAGUAAAGAGUGCGUAGGUGGUGCCCUAAGGCUGUUGUGAAAUCUCCCGGCUUAACUGGGAGGGUGCGGUGGAAACUGGGGUGCUUGAGUGUGGGAGAGGUAAGCGGAAUUCCUGGUGUAGCGGUGAAAUGCGUAGAUAUCAGGAGGAACACCGGUGGUGUAGACGGCUUACUGGACCACGACUGACACUGAGGCACGAAAGCGUGGGUAGCAAACCGG
rnacentral:rRNA from 1 species